rnacentral:rRNA from 1 species
GGGUUGUGAGGUUAAGCGACUAAGCGUACACGGUGGAUGCCCUGGCAGUCAGAGGCGAUGAAGGACGUGCUAAUCUGCGAUAAGCGUCGGUAAGGUGAUAUGAACCGUUAUAACCGGCGAUUUCCGAAUGGGGAAACCCAGUGUGAUUCGUCACACUAUCAUUAACUGAAUCCAUAGGUUAAUGAGGCGAACCGGGGGAACUGAAACAUCUAAGUACCCCGAGGAAAAGAAAUCAACCGAGAUUCCCCCAGUAGCGGCGAGCGAACGGGGAGGAGCCCAGAGCCUGAAUCAGUGUGUGUGUUAGUGGAAGCGUCUGGAAAGGCGCGCGAUACAGGGUGACAGCCCCGUACACAAAAAUGCACAUACUGUGAGCUCGAUGAGUAGGGCGGGACACGUGGUAUCCUGUCUGAAUAUGGGGGGACCAUCCUCCAAGGCUAAAUACUCCUGACUGACCGAUAGUGAACCAGUACCGUGAGGGAAAGGCGAAAAGAACCCCGGCGAGGGGAGUGAAAAAGAACCUGAAACCGUGUACGUACAAGCAGUGGGAGCCUCUUUAUGGGGUGACUGCGUACCUUUUGUAUAAUGGGUCAGCGACUUAUAUUCUGUAGCAAGGUUAACCGAAUAGGGGAGCCGAAGGGAAACCGAGUCUUAACUGGGCGUUAAGUUGCAGGGUAUAGACCCGAAACCCGGUGAUCUAGCCAUGGGCAGGUUGAAGGUUGGGUAACACUAACUGGAGGACCGAACCGACUAAUGUUGAAAAAUUAGCGGAUGACUUGUGGCUGGGGGUGAAAGGCCAAUCAAACCGGGAGAUAGCUGGUUCUCCCCGAAAGCUAUUUAGGUAGCGCCUCGUGAAUUCAUCUCCGGGGGUAGAGCACUGUUUCGGCAAGGGGGUCAUCCCGACUUACCAACCCGAUGCAAACUGCGAAUACCGGAGAAUGUUAUCACGGGAGACACACGGCGGGUGCUAACGUCCGUCGUGAAGAGGGAAACAACCCAGACCGCCAGCUAAGGUCCCAAAGUCAUGGUUAAGUGGGAAACGAUGUGGGAAGGCCCAGACAGCCAGGAUGUUGGCUUAGAAGCAGCCAUCAUUUAAAGAAAGCGUAAUAGCUCACUGGUCGAGUCGGCCUGCGCGGAAGAUGUAACGGGGCUAAACCAUGCACCGAAGCUGCGGCAGCGACGCUUAUGCGUUGUUGGGUAGGGGAGCGUUCUGUAAGCCUGCGAAGGUGUACUGUGAGGUAUGCUGGAGGUAUCAGAAGUGCGAAUGCUGACAUAAGUAACGAUAAAGCGGGUGAAAAGCCCGCUCGCCGGAAGACCAAGGGUUCCUGUCCAACGUUAAUCGGGGCAGGGUGAGUCGACCCCUAAGGCGAGGCCGAAAGGCGUAGUCGAUGGGAAACAGGUUAAUAUUCCUGUACUUGGUGUUACUGCGAAGGGGGGACGGAGAAGGCUAUGUUGGCCGGGCGACGGUUGUCCCGGUUUAAGCGUGUAGGCUGGUUUUCCAGGCAAAUCCGGAAAAUCAAGGCUGAGGCGUGAUGACGAGGCACUACGGUGCUGAAGCAACAAAUGCCCUGCUUCCAGGAAAAGCCUCUAAGCAUCAGGUAACAUCAAAUCGUACCCCAAACCGACACAGGUGGUCAGGUAGAGAAUACCAAGGCGCUUGAGAGAACUCGGGUGAAGGAACUAGGCAAAAUGGUGCCGUAACUUCGGGAGAAGGCACGCUGAUACGUAGGUGAAGCGACUUGCUCGUGGAGCUGAAAUCAGUCGAAGAUACCAGCUGGCUGCAACUGUUUAUUAAAAACACAGCACUGUGCAAACACGAAAGUGGACGUAUACGGUGUGACGCCUGCCCGGUGCCGGAAGGUUAAUUGAUGGGGUUAGCGGUAACGCGAAGCUCUUGAUCGAAGCCCCGGUAAACGGCGGCCGUAACUAUAACGGUCCUAAGGUAGCGAAAUUCCUUGUCGGGUAAGUUCCGACCUGCACGAAUGGCGUAAUGAUGGCCAGGCUGUCUCCACCCGAGACUCAGUGAAAUUGAACUCGCUGUGAAGAUGCAGUGUACCCGCGGCAAGACGGAAAGACCCCGUGAACCUUUACUAUAGCUUGACACUGAACAUUGAGCCUUGAUGUGUAGGAUAGGUGGGAGGCUUUGAAGUGUGGACGCCAGUCUGCAUGGAGCCGACCUUGAAAUACCACCCUUUAAUGUUUGAUGUUCUAACGUUGGCCCCUGAUCGGGGUUGCGGACAGUGUCUGGUGGGUAGUUUGACUGGGGCGGUCUCCUCCUAAAGAGUAACGGAGGAGCACGAAGGUUGGCUAAUCCUGGUCGGACAUCAGGAGGUUAGUGCAAUGGCAUAAGCCAGCUUGACUGCGAGCGUGACGGCGCGAGCAGGUGCGAAAGCAGGUCAUAGUGAUCCGGUGGUUCUGAAUGGAAGGGCCAUCGCUCAACGGAUAAAAGGUACUCCGGGGAUAACAGGCUGAUACCGCCCAAGAGUUCAUAUCGACGGCGGUGUUUGGCACCUCGAUGUCGGCUCAUCACAUCCUGGGGCUGAAGUAGGUCCCAAGGGUAUGGCUGUUCGCCAUUUAAAGUGGUACGCGAGCUGGGUUUAGAACGUCGUGAGACAGUUCGGUCCCUAUCUGCCGUGGGCGCUGGAGAACUGAGGGGGGCUGCUCCUAGUACGAGAGGACCGGAGUGGACGCAUCACUGGUGUUCGGGUUGUCAUGCCAAUGGCACUGCCCGGUAGCUAAAUGCGGAAGAGAUAAGUGCUGAAAGCAUCUAAGCACGAAACUUGCCCCGAGAUGAGUUCUCCCUGACUCCUUGAGAGUCCUGAAGGAACGUUGAAGACGACGACGUUGAUAGGCCGGGUGUGUAAGCGCAGCGAUGCGUUGAGCUAACCGGUACUAAUGAACCGUGAGGCUUAACCUUACAACGCCGAAG